rnacentral:misc_RNA from 1 species
AAGAUAUGGUCGUGACCGUCUCGCACGCGGGCUACGUCAAGCGCGUGCCGCUCUCGACCUAUCGCGCACAGAAGCGCGGCGGCAAAGGCCGCUCGGGCAUGCAGACGCGCGACGAGGAUUUCGUCAGCCGGCUGGUCAUCGACCCAUACGCCGGUGCUGUUCUUCUCGUCUCGCGGCCAGGUCUAUAAGGAGAAGGUCUGGCGUCUGCCA